rnacentral:rRNA from 1 species
AAUACAGAAAAUGCAAGCGUUAUUCAUUUUAUUAGGCGUAAAGCGUUUUAAGGUUUUAUAUUAAUUUUAUGUUUAAAUAUUUAAAUUAAAUUAAAAUAAAUUAAUAAAUAAUAAUAUAAUAGAGUAUUAUAAAAGUAUUAAGAAUUUUUUGAGAAGUAGUGAAAUACAAUGAUACAAAAAAGAAUAUCAAAGGCGAAAGCAUAAUACUAUAUAAUUACUGACACUUAAAAACGAAAGCUAAGGUAGCAAAUAGGAUUAGAUACCCUAGUAGUCUUAGCUGUAAACUAUGAAUAUUUUAUAUUUAUAUUUUAUAAAUAUAAUAACUAACGUGAUAAAUAUUCCGCCUGAGUAGUAUAUUCGCAAGAAUGAAAUUCAAAGGAAUUGACGGGAGCUUAUACAAGUGGUGGAACAUGUGGCUUAAUUCGAUGCAACACGAUAAACCUUACCAAAAUUUAACAAUAUUUUUAAUAUUAAGAAAUUAAUAUUUUAAUAAAAUAUAUAGGUAGUGCAUGGCUGUCGUCAGUUCGUGCUGUGAAGUGUUAAUUUUAGUAUUAUAACGAACGUAACCUUUUAUAAAAAAAAUUUUUAUAAUAAAUAAUAAUAAAGAUUACGUCAAGUCAUUAUGCUCCUUAUAUUUUGGGCUGCUCACGUGUUACAUAAAAUAUUACAAUAUUUUAUUAUAUGUUAAAUAUAAUAAUUAAAAUAUAUUUAUAGUUCAGAUUAUAAAUUGAAACUCAUUUAUAUAAAGAUGGAAUCACUAGUAAUCGCUAAUCAGAAUUAUAGCGGUGAAUAAGUUCUUAAGCUUUGUACACACCGCCCGUCACAUCUAAAAAGUAUCAUAUUAUAUAAAAAUUAUUGUUAAAUAAUAAUAUAUAAUUAUAUAAUUUAGAUGAAGUCGUAACAAGGUAGCCGUACUGGAAGGUGCGGCUG